rnacentral:rRNA from 1 species
AUGGCGUCGUCUCAGCCGGCCAAGGCCAAGCCGCACGUCCUGCUCAUCCCCUACCCGGCUCAAGGCCAUGUGAACCCGUUGCUGAGGCUGGCCAAGGCCCUGCACAUGCGCUCCUUCCACAUCACCUUCCUCCACACCGAGCACAACUAUCGCCGCCUCCUCCGGUCCCACGGGCCGGGCGCCGUAGAGGAGGUCCCUGGCUUCAGAUUCGAGACAAUUCCUGAUGGGCUCCCGCCGGCAGACCUCGAUGCCACCCAGGACAUUUGGAAGCUCUGUGAGGCCACGAGGCGGACGUGUCCGGGGCCUGUCAGGGAGCUCGUCGAGAGGCUCAGCCACACCGAUGGCGUCCCGCCGGUGACCUGCGUCAUCGCGGAUGGCGCCAUGGGGUUCGUGGUGCACGUGGCCAAGGAGUUGGGGCUGCCAGCCUAUCUGUUCUUCACGACCAGUGCAUGUGGGCUCUUGGCAUAUCUCAACUUUGAUCAGCUUGUCAAGAGAGGCUACGUGCCACUCAAAGAUGAGAGCUGCCUCACGGGCGGUUACCUAGACACCCAUGUGGGCUGGAUAACCGGAAUGAUCAGCAACGUCCGCCUCCGUGACCUACCAACGUUCAUCCGCACGACCGACACCAAUGAUGUCAUGGUGACCAUCAACAUAAAACAGUGCGAGUUGGACGCUCCCGCCGCUGACGGCAUCCUCCUCAACACCUUCGAUGACCUAGAGUACACGUCGCUGGCCGCCAUCCGCGAGCGUCUACCCAACACCAUCACCAUCGGACCACUCAUCUCGUUGUCGUCCUACCUUCCAUCCGUCACAUCGAGUCUGUGGAAAGAGGACAUUGUAUGCACUUCGUGGCUGGACAAGCAGCCGGAUGGCUCUGUGGUGUACGUCAACUUCGGGAGCAUCACGGUCAUGUCGACGGAGCAGAUGGUGGAGUUUGCACGGGGGUUGGAUGGCGCCGGCAGCCCGUUCCUAUGGGUUGUCCGGCCAGAUAUGGUGCGGGAUGGCAGCCUGCCUGAGGAGUUCGUGGAGGAGUUGGCGGGGAGGGGGCUCAUUGUGGGGUGGUGCGACCAGGAGGCGGUUCUGGAGCACCGCGCAACUGGGGCUUUCUUGACCCAUUGCGGGUGGAACUCGACGCUGGAGAGCCUACGCGCUGGUGUGCCAAUGGUAUGUUGGCCAUUCUUCGCUGAGCAGGUGACCAACUGCAGGUACGCAUGUGACGGGUGGGGUGUCGGCAUUGAGAUGGCGCGCCAGGCCGGGCGGGAAGAGGUGCAGGUGGCGGUGAGGGAGCUGAUGGGUGACAGGGCGAUGAGACGGAAGGCGGCAGAGUGGAAGGAGAAGGCAGAGAAGGCAGUCAUGGCGGGUGGUUCGUCGCAUGGGAACCUCGAGAGGUUCAUCCAAGAGAUUGCGCACGUCAAGUGA